rnacentral:tRNA from 1 species
GCCCGGGUGGUCUAGUGGUAUGAUUCUCGCUUAGGGAUCCCAAACCCAAGCAUAUCUGCGAGAGGUCCCGCGUUCGAUCCGCGGCUCGGGCC